rnacentral:rRNA from 1 species
UAACGUAGGGUGCAAGCGUUGUCCGGAAUUAUUGGGCGUAAAGAGCUCGUAGGCGGUCUGUCGCGUCUGCUGUGAAAACUCAGGCUUAACCUGAGCUGCAGUGGGUACGGGCAGACUAGAGUGCGGUAGGGAGACUGGAAUUCCUGGUGAUAGCGGUGAAAUGACGCAGAUAGUCAGGAGGAACACCGGUGGCGAAGGCGGGUCUCUUGGGAC